UCUGAAGGAGAUUAUGCAGUGUGGUCCAGGAGUCUUGAAACACUGAGAGGAAAAACAAGUGCAUUCCGAAUUCAAUAUCUUUUCUUCUUUUCCCAACACUGUUCCCUGAAGCUCUUCAGAAAGCAAGACCCACAUGUGUCUGAAAGCCAUGUGAGGACCAGGAGAGAUUUCUCCCAACUGAAGCUCUACCCUGCCAGGCAGUGUGAAGUCUCCAGACCCAGGAUGUGGAGGAGAAAAAAUCGUCCUGUGAGUGAUUGUCAGACCCUGAACCCCUCUUGGAGAAGUACCGGAGUACAUACAAUGGAGACGCAGUGCAGCAUUUGCCCCUGAGAGCAGCAUUGUGUCUUGCACUAACAGUGUAGUUGUGGAAUUUCGUGGACUGUCACUUCCAGCUUGCUGAUGUCAGGGUGGCAUCCUGUGGCUGUGCAAAUGCGUGUGAACAGCAUGAAGACAGCGGCAGCUCUCUGCACCGUGGGUAGCAGAGGACACCCUGGGUGGAUGCAGAGGGAGUAGAUGAAGUCCUGAGUGUAUGUGUACUGUCACCUUGGGCAUAGUCAUGUCGAGGACCCCUGGGAACAGCAAAGCUGUCCUCUGGUCCAAGCACAAGUGUUUAUGAGUGAUUGACCAACGUGUACAAAAGCUAGCAACCCCACAACUUUCUCCUGCCAGACCUCCACCUCCCGGAGAACUCUUACUAUCUAAACCUGCUUUCUUGUUCAGCUGUAUAUAAUAAAUCCUCCUCCCUAAUUUGGAUGUUUAAAAUAAACUCGUUAUUUCCAGGUU